rnacentral:rRNA from 1 species
UACGUAGGGGGCAAGCGUUGUCCGGAAUCAUUGGGCGUAAAGCGCGCGUAGGCGGCCCGGUAAGUCCGCUGUAAAAGUCCAGGGCUCAACCCUGGAAAGUCGGUGGAUACUGUCGGGCUAGAGUCCGGAAGAGGCGAGUGGAAUUCCUGGUGUAGCGGUGGAAUGCGCAGAUAUCAGGAGGAACACCGAUGGCGAAGGCAGCUCGCUGGGCCAUUCCUGACGCUGAGACGCGAAAGCUAGGGGAGCGAACAGG